AGGUGAAAUGAAUUUCGCCUGAGGAUGAGCCCGCGUCUGAUUAGCUAGUUGGUGAGGUAAUGGCUCACCAAGGCGUCGAUCAGUAGCUGGUCUGAGAGGAUGAUCAGCCACACUGCGACUGAUACACGGCCCAGACUCCUACGGGAGGCAGCAGUGGGGAAUUUUCCGCAAUGGGCGAAAGCCUGACGGAGCAACGCCGCGUGAGGGAUGAAGGCCUCUGGGCUGUAAACCUCUUUUCUCAAGGAAGAAGAUCUGACGGUAC
rnacentral:rRNA from 1 species